GAUGAAGAACGUAGCGAAAUGCGAUAAGUAAUGUGAAUUGCAGAAUUCAGUGAAUCAUCGAAUCUUUGAACGCACCUUGCACCCUUUGGCAUUCCGAAGGGUAUGCUCGUUUGAGUGUCAUUGUACUCUCACACUCUCUGAUCCUUUGGAUUCAGGGAGCGGUGGACUUGGGUGUUUGCUGCUUUCCUUGUGGCGCACCUGAAAUGUGUUAGUGCAACUCUUGGUUGGACAUAGAACGGCGUGAUAAGUGUCUUCGCCGGCACCUCGCAAGAGGGUGGCCAAUUGGGAGCUCUGUGCUUUCAAACCGUCUUCGGACAAUCUCUGACAACUUGACCUCAAAUCGAGUAGGACUACCCGCUGAACUUAAGCAUAUCAAUAAGCGGAGGA
rnacentral:misc_RNA from 1 species